AACGAACGCUGGCGGCAUGCCUAACACAUGCAAGUCGAACGAGAUCUUCGGGUCUAGUGGCGCACGGGUGCGUAACGCGUGGGAAUCUGCCCUUUGGUUCGGAAUAACAGUUGGAAACGACUGCUAAUACCGGAUGAUGACGAAAGUCCAAAGAUUUAUCGCCAGAGGAUGAGCCCGCGUAGGAUUAGCUAGUUGGUGUGGUAAAGGCGCACCAGGGCGACGAUCCUUAGCUGGUCUGAGAGGAUGAUCAGCCACACUGGGACUGAGACACGGACCAGACUCCUACGGGAGGCAGCAGUGGGGAAUAUUGGACAAUGGGCGAAAGCCUGAUCCAGCAAUGCCGCGUGAGUGAUGAAGGCCUUAGGGUUGUAAAGCUCUUUUACCCGGGAUGAUAAUGACAGUACCGGGAGAAUAAGCUCCGGCUAACUCCGUGCCCGCAGCCGCAGUAACAC
rnacentral:rRNA from 1 species